rnacentral:rRNA from 1 species
CCUACGGGAGGCAGCAGUGGGGGAUAUUGCACAAUGGGGGAAACCCUGAUGCAGCGACGCCGCGUGGGUGAAGAAGCGCCUCGGCGCGUAAAGCCCUGUCAGCAGGGAAGAAAAUGACGGUACCUGAAGAAGAAGCCCCGGCUAACUAGGUGACAGUAGCAGCGGCAAUACGGAGGGGGCAAGCGUUAUCCGGAUUUACUGGGUGUAAAGGGGGCGCAGACGGCGCUGUAAGCCAGGAGUGAAAGCCCGGGGCCCAACCCCGGGACUGCUCUUGGAACUGCGUGGCUAGAGUGCAGGAGGGGCAGGCGGAAUUCCUGGUGUAGCGGUGAAAUGCGUAGAUAUCAGGAGGAACACCGGUGGCGAAGGCGGCCUGCUGGACUGCAACUGACGUUGAGGCCCGAAGGCGUGGGGAGCAAACGGGAUUAGAUACCCCAGUAGUC